AGUCGAACGGCAGCAUGAUCUAGCUUGCUAGAUUGAUGGCGAGUGGCGAACGGGUGAGUAAUACAUCGGAACGUGCCCUGUAGUGGGGGAUAACUAGUCGAAAGAUUAGCUAAUACCGCAUACGACCUGAGGGUGAAAGUGGGGGACCGCAAGGCCUCAUGCUAUAGGAGCGGCCGAUGUCUGAUUAGCUAGUUGGUGGGGUAAAGGCCCACCAAGGCGACGAUCAGUAGCUGGUCUGAGAGGACGAUCAGCCACACUGGGACUGAGACACGGCCCAGACUCCUACGGGAGGCAGCAGUGGGGAAUUUUGGACAAUGGGCGAAAGCCUGAUCCAGCAAUGCCGCGUGUGUGAAGAAGGCCUUCGGGUUGUAAAGCACUUUUGUCCGGAAAGAAAUGGCUCUGGUUAAUACCUGGGGUCGAUGACGGUACCGGAAGAAUAAGGACCGGCUAACUACGUGCCAGCAGCCGCGGUAAUACGUAGGGUCCAAGCGUUAAUCGGAAUUACUGGGCGUAAAGCGUGCGCAGGCGGUUGUGCAAGACCGAUGUGAAAUCCCCGAGCUUAACUUGGGAAUUGCAUUGGUGACUGCACGGCUAGAGUGUGUCAGAGGGGGGUAGAAUUCCACGUGUAGCAGUGAAAUGCGUAGAGAUGUGGAGGAAUACCGAUGGCGAAGGCAGCCCCCUGGGAUAACACUGACGCUCAUGCACGAAAGCGUGGGGAGCAAACAGGAUUAGAUACCCUGGUAGUCCACGCCCUAAACGAUGUCAACUAGUUGUUGGGGAUUCAUUUCCUUAGUAACGUAGCUAACGCGUGAAGUUGACCGCCUGGGGAGUACGGUCGCAAGAUUAAAACUCAAAGGAAUUGACGGGGACCCGCACAAGCGGUGGAUGAUGUGGAUUAAUUCGAUGCAACGCGAAAAACCUUACCUACCCUUGACAUGCCACUAACGAAGCAGAGAUGCAUUAGGUGCUCGAAAGAGAAAGUGGACACAGGUGCUGCAUGGCUGUCGUCAGCUCGUGUCGUGAGAUGUUGGGUUAAGUCCCGCAACGAGCGCAACCCUUGUCUCUAGUUGCUACGAAAGGGCACUCUAGAGAGACUGCCGGUGACAAACCGGAGGAAGGUGGGGAUGACGUCAAGUCCUCAUGGCCCUUAUGGGUAGGGCUUCACACGUCAUACAAUGGUGCAUACAGAGGGUUGCCAAGCCGCGAGGUGGAGCUAAUCCCAGAAAAUGCAUCGUAGUCCGGAUCGUAGUCUGCAACUCGACUACGUGAAGCUGGAAUCGCUAGUAA
rnacentral:rRNA from 1 species